rnacentral:rRNA from 1 species
UAAACGACUCUCGGCAACGGAUAUCUCGGCUCUCGCAUCGAUGAAGAACGUAGCGAAAUGCGAUACUUGGUGUGAAUUGCAGAAUCCCGAGAACCAUCGAGUUUUUGAACGCAAGUUGCGCCCGAAACCAUUAGGUUGAGGGCACGCCUGCCUGGGCGUCUCAC